ACGAACGCUGGCGGCGUGCUUAACACAUGCAAGUCGAACGGAAAGGCCCUGCUUUUGUGGGGUGCUCGAGUGGCGAACGGGUGAGUAACACGUGAGUAACCUGCCCUUGACUUUGGGAUAACUUCAGGAAACUGGGGCUAAUACCGUAUAGGAGCUCCUGCUGCAUGGUGGGGGUUGGAAAGUUUCGGCGGUUGGGGAUGGACUCGCGGCUUAUCAGCUUGUUGGUGGGGUAGUGGCUUACCAAGGCUUUGACGGGUAGCCGGCCUGAGAGGGUGACCGGCCACAUUGGGACUGAGAUACGGCCCAGACUCCUACGGGAGGCAGCAGUGGGGAAUAUUGCACAAUGGGCGGAAGCCUGAUGCAGCAACGCCGCGUGCGGGAUGACGGCCUUCGGGUUGUAAACCGCUUUCGCCUGUGACGAAGCGUGAGUGACGGUAAUGGGUAAAGAAGCACCGGCUAACUACGUG
rnacentral:rRNA from 1 species